UUUCCUACGGGAGGCAGCAGUAAGGAAUAUUGGUCAAUGGACGCAAGUCUGAACCAGCCAUGCCGCGUGAAGGAAGACGGCCCUACGGGUUGUAAACUUCUUUUGUACGGGAAAAAACCUCCGGUCGUGUACCGGAGCUGAUGGUACCGUAAGAAUAAGCAUCGGCUAACUCCGUGCCAGCAGCCGCGGUAAUACGGAGGAUGCAAGCGUUAUCCGGAUUCAUUGGGUUUAAAGGGUGCGCAGGCGGAAUGAUAAGUCAGUGGUGAAAUCCUACAGCUUAACUGUAGAACUGCCAUUGAUACUGUUGUUCUUGAGUACACUUGGAGUGGGCGGAAUGUGUCAUGUAGCGGUGAAAUGCUUAGAUAUGACACAGAACACCGAUCGCGAAGGCAGCUCACUAAAUUGUAACUGACGCUCAGGCACGAAAGCGUGGGGAUCAAACAGGAUUAGAUACCCCGGUAGUCCGC
rnacentral:rRNA from 1 species